rnacentral:rRNA from 1 species
UAGGGAAUCUUCGGCAAUGGACGAAAGUCUGACCGAGCAACGCCGCGUGAGUGAAGAAGGUUUUAGGAUCGUAAAACUCUGUUGUUAGAGAAGAACAAGGACGUUAGUAACUGAACGUCCCCUGACGGUACCUAACCAGAAAGCCACGGCUAACUACGUGCCAGCAGCCGCGGUAAUACGAAGGUGGCAAGCGUUGACCGGAUCAAUGGGGCGUAAAGCGAGCGCAGGCGGUUUCUUAAGUCUGAUGUGAAAGCCCCCGGCUCAACCGGGGAGGGUCAUUGAAAACUGUGACACUUGAGUGCAGAAGAGGAGAGUGGAAUUCCAUGUGUCGCGGUGAAAUUCGUAUAUAUAUGGAGGAGCACCAGUGGCGAAGGCGGCUCUCUGGUCUGUAACUGACGCUGAGGCUCGAAAGCGUGGGGAGCAAACAGG